GACCGCGUAGCUCAGUUGGAAGAGCAUUGGGCAAGUAUUCCAAAGGUCGUAGGUUCGAAUCCCACCGUGGCCG
rnacentral:tRNA from 1 species